rnacentral:rRNA from 1 species
GCAGCCGCGGUAAUACGUAGGUGGCAAGCGUUGUCCGGAUUUACUGGGUGUAAAGGGAGCGCAGGCGGGAAAGCAAGUCAGCUGUGAAAACUAUGGGCUUAACCCAUAGACUGCAGUUGAAACUGUUUUUCUUGAGUGGAGUAGAGGUAAGCGGAAUUCCGAGUGUAGCGGUGAAAUGCGUAGAGAUUCGGAGGAACACCAGUGGCGAAGGCGGCUUACUGGGCUCUAACUGACGCUGAGGCUCGAAAGUGUGGGGAGCAAACAGGAUUAGAUACCCC